ACGAGUCAAGCGCUGCACUCCAGAAAGCUCAGUCUUACCCUGUGUCUCUGCUGCUGCUAGUGCUGCAAGUGGGAUAGCUGCUCAUCUCAAAACACCAGUUCAGUCCUCAAAACCGAACCUCAUUUCACGCCCGAGUAUUGCUUCUGUUGCCUUCUCAAACCUCUCUAGUGAUUUUCUCCUACCCUUUCCCUCCCCACCUCCGCUGUAGCCUGUGAAUCGAGCAACGAUUUUUAAAGCAAAUGUUUAUUCGCCUUUCUUUUCUUCUAUUCUGCAUUUUGCGGAAUCACGCUGAGACUUGCUGCUUCGAUGAUAGCUAAAAUGUAGCGUCACCUACCUGGGUAAGUGGGAAAUAAACUUUAAUAUUAAAGCUCUCUGCUCAACUUUGCUUAUUCUGCCAUCCCUAGUUCGCGUCUCCUUUUGACUUUGUGCCAUUUAAUCGCCUAUGGCUUUUGUGUGCCCCCCUGCGCUUGAUGAUGCCUGGAUCCUGUACGUGUCCUCUCCGCUCGGAUCCCGGAGGGAAAAGGGAGACUCCGGGAGCAGGUGAACAUAGAGCACCCAGUGGGAAGAACCGGCGUGUGCGGGGGUGUCUGUCUAUGUGUGCAGGGGUGUGUAUGCGUGUGUGCCUGUGUGUGUGUGUCCGUGUGCGUGUGUCCGUGCGUGCGCGCAGCGAGGGGGAAGCAAGAAUCCAGCUGCUCUUUCUCCCUCUGUGAACACAUGUGGGAAAACAAGUUGUUGCGGGUUCUAUGUGUGCGUGUGUACAUUCCUCUUUAUGGGUGGCUGUUUUGAAUAAAAAUGCAUGCAGACGAAUGUAGUGAAAUGCUUUUCUUUCAUCGCGAUGACAUAUUUGAGCGAAAAGCGGCCGUAUAUGUUGAGGUGGUUCAAAGCCACGGUAACAGCGUGUCUUUGUCAUUUGGGGCAGUGAGUGACUGUAAGAGGCAGGGAAGGUUGCCACCUCUUUCCUUGGGGAGUCCGGAGGUACAGAGGGGCAGAGCCGCGCAGCAUGGAGUCGGCGAUAGGGAGGGAGGGAGGGACUGCUCCCUUCUCCGGAGGGCUGCAGAGCUACUCCUCCGGCGUCUCCUCCGGCCCUGGCACCGGCCCCGGCCGCUAUCCCUACCCUGCCAGAACAAGAAAACCCUCCCCCGCCGAUGCUGGAGACAGUCGGCUUUCUAUCUGCAGCAUCAGCGAGAAAGCCCAGCUCGGCGCAGGCUCAGUGCUCACCGCCGCAGUCCCGGACGGAGGAGGGGGGCUCGGGAACGCAGCGUCUUCGCAGCGGGUUAAGUAGGAUUAAUACCAAAUCCCUAUUAUAUUUGCCAAGCAACUUGAAUUUAUCAAAAUUCCCCCUCGCUGUUCUGGAGCUCCGAGAGGAGGAAAUUUUGCUUUCAGAGUAAGAUCCAGGCAUGCCAGUACGUAGAAAUACCAGCAUACUGCAUUACAUUGGCUCCCUGCACUGGCAAUACAAUUGCGAGCCGCAGCUCCCGCUGUUCCCUUCCCUUUGUGUUUUUAAACACAGCCAGGAAACUUAAUGUAUUCGUCAGGGGAGGGGCGGGAUGAGAGCGUUUUUAACCUCCCCGCCAUAAACUUUAAUCGGAUUCUGGGCUGUUGCACGGCAUGGACGCUCGCCUCUUGCUUGCGUCUCCUUCCCCGUUGUCUCCCAUGUCUACUUUUACUACGGCCUGUUCUGCGAGAGCCUCUGUCAAGCGAAUGAGUGAUUUCUUUCUCUUGCCAUGUGCAAUCGCUCCCCCUUCCCUUCCUACCCUCGCUGGCCUCUCUUACACACACUAUGCCAUUCACACGCGCUCUGCACCCCCAGCCCUCCCUCCCUUUCUUUCUUUUUUGUAGUGUCUUCACAUGCAAUCUCUCUCUGAAUGUGCAAUGUCUUUCCUGCUCGGGAGUGCUGCGUCCUUCACAGUGGAUUGGUUCCUCUUUCGGAGCAGAGAAUUUCAAGCUAGAUAAUACACCAUAGAAGUUACUGACAGAGCAGAAUUAAUCUGUGUUGGAUAACACUGGCUAAAUCUCACAUGAUUAUAAUUGCUCAUUCUUAAAGUCGUAUCUGAGGAGAGCAUAAAAGAUAUGGCAUGUCUUCAUGACUCUACUGUAUCAGCUGCCUGUUGAGCAGAAGAGAAAAUAUGCAAGCAAGAUGGCAACUCUGCAGAGUUCUGAAUAAGAACCUUUGAUAUCAUAAUUCAAACACUGUUAUGGAUAAUUGAAUUCUGUGAUGCUCUAUGCCUUUGUGUAAGUUAAUGCCAAUAUAUGUUAUUGACUAUACCUAAAAUGAAAUUUAUAAAUGUACACAUAAAAAUAUUUGCUUAUUUGGGACCUUUAAUGUUUCUGUCUACUUUAUCAAAAACAAUUACUGCUCUCUGGCUGAAAUAAGAGUCAUAUAAAUACACAGUUAUUCUAAAUUAGGGAAAUAAAUAUGGUGGCAAAAUCAUUUAGAAUGGGACCAAGCUGUUGGUUGCUUAUUGGACAGGCUAUUUGGCUUUGUUCUGCAAUGAUUAAAAGUGCUUUACUAGGUAUUUUAUAAUGUUAAAACUUGCCAUUUCUUUUCAUAUGAAAAGUGAAACAUUAGAAUCCUUAGAGACUGUAUUGCUAUAAGCCUUAUUUAGCUGUACAGUGCAGAAGCAGACGGUGUUUUUCCUUAACCAUUGUUUGACUUUAUCAAGGGCAUGACUAUUCACUGAAAAAAAAGUAAGGGCUAUUCACCUGCUACCAUCUACUGUUGGUGAGCAAAAGAAAGUGUGAAGAGAUGGAGUCUCUUGCACAUUUCUCUGAACUAGAUUAAAACAUAAACAUAUAUAUCCAUUCCUGUACUGCACAGGUCUAGUAAAGAGCUCUGGCAUUUAGCCAAAAUGAGAAUUAGAGGCUGGAGAAGACCCCGGUUAUAUCACCCUAAAACAGGAUCCUUUAAUCACCAAUAGGAGUAGCCAAAUAUAUUUUAGGCUGUAAAACACUGAUCUAUAUGCUGGUACUGAUCAGCUGGUACUCUGAUCAGCUUUGCUUCUGAAAUGUUUUGCACUGCUACCUUAAUUCUCCAAAAUAAGAGUAAAGGAUUUGUAGCCACCCUUCCUGUGGGGAAGAUUACAUAGCCUGGUUUUGAAAUCAUUUGUUCACCUGCUGCCUCACUUGCACUUUUUGCCAUGCACAGACAGCCAUAGUUUUAUGUCUACUUUAGCUGUUUUGCAAAGUUUCUUCGUGAUCAUCCUUCCAUAAUUACAUUUUUAGCUUCCUUUAUAAGAGUAAUAAGUACAGUACAGAAGGGGGUUUAUGACCUACAAUAUAUCUAGAGGAAGAGAGGUACUGAUAAGUUUCCACAUUUUUCAUCUUCUGAUAGAAGCCUGACAUAUCUUCCAGUUCAUUCAUUCUGUGAGAUGAUUAAAAAGUUGCUCUUCAACAAACUAAACCUCAUCCAGGGCUCAGCAGGAAAUAACUGCAAUCUAAGCACAUUAAAGAACAGACAGGGCAAAACAAAGUAUACCUCUUUCUUUCCCUCUUAAGAUCAUGGGGAAAAGAGAAAAGCAGUCUAAUAUUGUGAUAAAACUGCAAGCCUGGAGCAGCUGGUUGAUGGGUUACGAUAUAGAACCUAAUCCAAAGCAUACAGAAGUCAACGGAAGCACUUUGACUAAAUAAGCUUUGCAUUAGGCACCUAGUGAGUGAAUGAUGUUUAAGCAUUCAUGUAGAUCUUAAGCAGAUGAGUGAAGAAGAAAAUGAUGUGUAUUUGAAUCAAAAUAAAUUCCAUUAAACCACUGGGUGUAAAUGUUAUUUUGCCUGACCUCAGAGAUCAUGUUUAUGACUCAGAAUAAGCUGGCAUUCUUCAGUGCUGAGUCCUAUCCUCCACUACUGUAAGCACUCAUAUUGCAUAAAAAGCAUAUCUCUCAAAUAUAUCUGUUUAUACAUCUGUAAAAUUCUUAUUUUCUUAUUCUUCUUCUCAAAGUUCAAUCCAUUAUAAACAUCUGCAGGCUCUUUUACCCAUACAUAUAUUUACUAAGGGCAUUUCUCUCAUCUUAGGGUUUUUUUUUGCAGAAUAAGACAAGAUUUUUCAAUUUCUUUUCAUGAGUUAAAUUCUGCAUUCCUGACAUCAUGCUGACAAACUUCCCUUUCACCUCUAUUCUAUUUUUAAUUACUUUUUCAGUGAAUCUUUGCUUAAUAUGGAGGACAGGAAUUGUUCUACCUCAUGUGAUAGUGUUAAACAUCCCUUUCUUUAACCCAGAAAUACCUUUUUUAAUAGUCCAUAUUAGCAUUUUUCAUACUUACAUCAUGUUUUGUUGGCUGAUAGUCCUUCUCUAGUAGAUUGGCUGCAUCGGGUUUUUUUCUUUGUUAUUUCCAGCUGACAAACUCACAGUUUAUAGCUGAAAAUCUAGUUACACUGCUCUUUUGUACGAUUAAGUUUAAUCUCAUUUCUAUUAUAGAAGUCAUCAAGGUCAUCUGAUUCCUCCUGUAUAUUUUUAUCAUUUCAUGAUUCUCAGAUUUGCUUUACCAACAAAUUUCAGCAGCAUGCUCCAAGGUUUUGUGAUCUAGGCUUUAAUUUAAAUAUCAAAAAGAUAUAUGGCAAGGCAGCCCAUGAAGAACCCCUUAGCAGCUUCCAUCUGACAUUGCAAACACUUAACACAGUCUGUUGUCCUCUCCUGGUUAGUCAAUUCUUUAUUUUCUCAGUCUUAAAUAAUUCUUUUCAUAUCAGAUAGUGUCAAAAACUGUUUUGAAAUCCAGAUAGGUGAGAUCUUCUUUUGCCCUGCUUAGAAGAUAAAUUAUUAAAGAAAGAUGUUGAUAAAAGGUAUUAUCUACUCUUGGAAAUAUUUGUAUAGAUUUUAUUAAGUUUGCUUUGUACUUUUGUGUACUCUGUACUUCUGUAUUUGUGUGAAGAAUAGUUCUCCUGUACUUGCACUGGUGAGGCUGCAUAUUGAAUCCUGUGUCCAGUUCUGGGCUCCUCAGUACAAGAAAGCAUUGAGGUGCUGGAGUGAGUCCAGAGAAGGGCAGUGAAGCUGGUGAAGGGUCUAGAGAGUAAGUCACAUGAGGAGCAGCUGAGGAAGCUGAGGUUGUUUAGCCUGGAGAAAAGGAGGCUCAGAGGUGACCUUAUUACUCUCUACAACUACAUGAAAGGAGGUUGUAGCAAGGUGGGGGUCAGUCUCUUCUUCCAGGUAAGUGACAGGACAAGAGCACAUAGACUCAAGUUGCACCAGGGGAGGUUCAGGUUGAACAUCAGAAGGAAUUUCUUCACAGAAAGGGUUGUUAAAAAUUGGAAUGGACUGCCCAGAAAGGUAGUGGAGUCACCAUCCCUGGAGGUGUUCAAGAAACAACCGGAUGUGACAUUUAGUGCCAUGGUCUGGUUGACAAGGUGGCGAUCAGUCAGAGGUUGGACUUUAUGAUAUCAGAGGUCUUUUCCAAUCUAAAUGAUUCUGUGUUUCUGUGCUAUUACUCAUUCUUCGCUUCAAAAUUAAUUUAGAAGCUUUACAUGCUGAAAUCAUCUAAAAGGCAUAUCGAAACAUCUAUUUAUUUCCUCUCUUCUGCUUCCCUUUUCAAAUGUAGGCAGGCCAUUUGCUAUUUUCCAUAAAUGAUCAUCCUGACAUACUUACUAAAAAUCCUUGUUCUAGAUUCUUUAGAUAUACAUAUAAAUUUCUUCAAGAUCCUGCAGUGAAAGUUGUGUAGACUUUUGCUUUGAAUAUUUUCUAGUGUUUGAAUUAAUUUCAUUUAAGAUGUGUUCUUCUUCUGUAACUUUGCUUUUGUUGAUCAUUUUCCUCAUUUCAGUAUUGCAAUCCUUGUUGAAACCUGAAACAACAUAUAAUUUAUUUGGGUAUUUCCAGGUAAAUAAUUAGAAUUUUACUGAUUGUUUUUGCUUCUUUAUAGCACAUUCUGCAAAAGUGAAGCCAUUGCUUUCUUAGCAAUUUUUGGAUAAGACCUGAAGGUUUACAUUUGACACUUCAUUAAAGAGUACAAGGGGAUACACUAUUUACAUAUUCUGCACUAUUUACCACUGCAAGUCUGUGUGUCUGUCUUAUCUACGUAUUGGCUACAUGUCAUCUACAUUAUUAUCUGCAAAUUCAUAACUUACAUAUCUGAAUGCUUUAUAUGAAAAGAAGGGGAAUGAAAGUGAAGAUAAGUAGAUAAUUGCAGAACAAAAGAAGAUAUAUCUGACCAAAAGAAACUUAGAACUUUCAAAGACUUGAAUAAUGCACAGGUAGAAAACAAUUGGAAGAAACUGAAAACGUGCAUGGGUUUUCACAAGAACAGAGUUAUCCUGAAUGUCAAAGGUCAAUUCAAAUUAUGAGAGACACUACCAGUUGCCAGAUCGUAUCAAGCUGAAUAUACAGAUAGUGUAUAUACAUAUAUAUAUAAAUAUAUAAAGUCCUUGAUGAGCAAAAAAAAAAUCCAUAUACUAGAAUAAAUCAUUCCAUGAAGAUUCUUCUAUCAAAUACUUUAGAGAAGUUUAGAGAGAUAGAUUAGAACAAGAAGACUGGAAAUAGAAUAGGUGAAGAUUUUUAAUUUUGUGAAAAAAUACAAUGAAAAUUUUAUAAGGGAGAAAUGAGAACAGAUUUUAGAAAGAUGAUGGCAUUCCAAUUUUAAUUUUAAAACUAUGCAUCAGCACAGCUGGGUGAAGCUACUUCUUAACCAAGUUAUUAGGUUUUUAUUUAUUAACUUUUGUUUUUCUUUUAAAAACAUUUUGGCAUUUUUGUACUAAAAUUCUAUUUUUUUUUCCUCAUGGGAGACUACAUGAUUUAUAGUGUAACUGAAAGAGGAUAUAUUUAAUUUACCUCAGUUCCAAAAAGUUCAUGAACACAAAGUAAUGAGAAGAAAACUUUUUUAGUUUCAUCUUAUGUGUCAUUCUUGGAAGAAGUUAUUGACUUAACUUGGUAUUAUUACUCCUCUGAAAGUUAUAAGUAAGAAUGAUACCUAUUAUGACUUCAUGACACUUCAAAUAAUAUAUCCCUUUUUUUGAUUGCUUAUUAGUUUACUGAACUUUAGCAUAUAACUUCUUUCCAAGUCUGAAGCUAUAUUUAAAUUUUUGAAAAAAGUCAGACUGAUUCAGUGAUAUGUGAUAGUGAUACUCAUGAUGAAAUUUAUAGACAACCUUAUUUAAAUAUUUUCAGCACUUUUAUACAUUCCAUUCUGAACUUGAGCUUUUAAGAGGCUAACUUUUGGGAGUUUUUGUCUUAUGAUUGAAAUCCAUCCACCCAAGUUCGUUCAAAUAGCAACACAUUAAAAUACUGCAUUUAAAUAAAUGUGGUAAGGACUUUACAUUUUUAGAGAAUAAAUUCCCCAGAUAUUUUAUUCACAUUAUGUGUAGCCCAACAUGUUGCUAACUAAUACUUUUUGAUAAUUUCAGGUUUUUGCCCAGAAAGUACAAUAGUCCAGCAUUAUGUGACCUCUCUUUUGGGACAUAACAGUGCGGAGCAGGAUGCUGCCAUGUUUGAACACAGAGGGAUGGAAGUUAGAUCUGAAGAGAGAGAAGAGGAUAAAGAAGGGUUAUUGAGCGUUCUAGAUAUCAAUGAAGUAAAAAAAUAAGUGUGAGAUUUACUAUAAAAUUAUCCCAUUCAUGCUCUUUCUAAAUGGUCAUGACAUUUUAUAUAUUUAACUGUUGUUCAAAUCACAACGGCUUAUUCAGAAGAUCAAAAGGAUACGGUCCUGAUGACCAGCCAUGUAAGUAUUACUAAUACAGCAUAUGAUUAAACUUCUGUUGUGUUUCACUUUGUUUGUUUGGGUUUUAGCUGGGAAAUGAUCUAGCAAAAAAAAUUAAUAUAAACCCCUCCAAACUAAUGUUGAGAACACUGUUUAUAUUGCCAAAUAUGAAAACUAUACACAAUAUAACACUUAGAAGCUAGAAAAUAUCAGAAUAAUACUGUCAGCAGACCCUUAAUUCAGUGAUUGCAAUCUAAUUGCAUGUUCAUGUAUUCUUUCUCCACUGAAUUUCAAUUUGAAAUCAAAUAAAAAUAAAUAAAAUUCAAUUGAAGAAAUUAAAGUACAUAAAUAAUUUUUAAUACAUUAAUAAAUAUUUUUAUUUAAUUAUUGUGGCAGGAUAGGCCCACCCUGAUAAGAUCUAAAAUCCAAUCAAGUUAUCAACUGCUGGUGCCAGAGUGUUGUCUUGGUGUUAAAUCAUGCUAAAACCAUCCUGGUCCACCAAACUUUGAAUACACACCCUGCUUUUGAAGCAGGACUUGACAGAUAAGCUAACCUGUGGGCUUGUAAAUCUCUGACUACCAGUCCAUCACUUCAUAACUCUAAAAGCCCAGUCCAAUUUCCAUAUGGCAGGUUCUUCCACAUGCUUCCUUGAAGUGUGGAUCUUCUCUCCUGAAGCAGGGAGACGUCAUGGUUACUCCCCAGGGGUUGAGAGAGAGAGAUCUACCUGCUGUCUCGUAUGCUGAGUUGCAUCAAUCUCUAAUUAUUGUUUCUUUUGCUAACUGCAAUACAAUUGCUUUAAUAUAAUUUCUUUGUUAUAAUUUCUUUGUUGUAUAAUAUUCUACUAGUAGAUUUUUUAGCUUUUACACUGUGUAGUAAAUAAUUCUGAUUAAGAUCUUUCGUCUGUUCACCUGUUUGUUAAUUUGUCGUAAUAAACAAUUCAUUUAUAUAAGUA